AUACAGAGGGUGCGAGCGUUAAUCGGAAUUACUGGGCGUAAAGCGCGCGUAGGCGGCUUAUUAAGUCAGAUGUGAAAUCCCAGGGCUCAACCUUGGAACUGCAUCUGAUACUGGUAAGCUAGAGUUUAGGAGAGGGAAGUAGAAUUUCAGGUGUAGCGGUGAAAUGCAUAGAGAUCUGAAGGAAUACCAGUGGCGAAGGCGACUUCCUGGCCUAAAACUGACGCUGAGGUGCGAAAGCGCGGGUAGCAAACGGGAUUAGAAACCCUAGUAGUCC
rnacentral:rRNA from 1 species